rnacentral:rRNA from 1 species
UAAGCGGAGGAAAAGAAACUANCAAGGAUUNCCCUAGUAACUGCGAGUGAAGCGGGAAAAGCUCAAAUUUAAAAUCUGGUGGUCUUUGGCCAUCCGAGUUGUAAUUUAGAGAAGCGUUUUCCGCGCUGGACCGUGCACAAGUCUCCUGGAAUGGAGCGUCAUAGAGGGUGAGAAUCCCGUCUUUGGCACGGACACACCAGGGCUUUUGUGAUGCGCUCUCGAAGAGUCGAGUUGUUUGGGAAUGCAGCUCAAAAUGGGUGGUGAACUCCAUCUAAAGCUAAAUAUUGGCGAGAGACCGAUAGCGAACAAGUACCGUGAGGGAAAGAUGAAAAGCACUUUGGAAAGAGAGUGAAACAGUACGUGAAAUUGUUGAAAGGGAAACGCUUGAAGUCAGUCGCGUCGACCGAGACUCAGCCUUGCCUUGGCUUGGUGUACUUCUCGGCUGACGGGUCAGCAUCAAUUUCGCCCCUUGGAUAAUGGCGAGGGAAAUGUGACACCUUUAUGGUGUGUUAUAGUCCCUUGUCGCAUGCAAGGGUUGGGAUUGAGGAACUCAGCACGCACCUUUGGGUGUCGGGGCUUUGCCCACGAUACGUGCUUAGGAUGUUGGCGUAAUGGCUUUAAACGACC